rnacentral:rRNA from 1 species
CCGCCCGUCACAUCAUGAAAGCCGGUUGUACCCGAAGUCCACUCUGCCAACCGCAAGGAGGCAGUGGCCGAAGGUAUGGCUGGUGAUUGGGAUG